GGUAUUACACCGAUGGAGCGGAUUGCAUUGAUGUUGUAAAUAGAAGAAUUUAUCUUUAAUACCU
rnacentral:tRNA from 1 species